rnacentral:rRNA from 1 species
UACGGGGGGGAGCAAGCGUUGUUCGGAUUUACUGGGCGUAAAGGGCGCGUAGGCGGCCACCGCAAGUCGACUGUGAAAUCUCCGGGACUUAACUCGGAAAGGUCAGCCGAUACUGCGGGGCUAGAGUGCAGAAGGGGCAACUGGAAUUCUCGGUGUAGCGGUGAAAUUCGUAGAUAUUCGGAGGAACACCAGAAGCAGAAGGCGGCCAACUCGGCCCGAUACUGACGCCUGAGGC